CCCCCCUGUUUUUGUAAUAAACGUUUGUUACUUCGAAACUGUCUGCAUCUGGGUCUUCUACUGAGCCUUGACACAUUAUGUUAGUAAUGAGAAUGAUUGUUAUUACGAUGUGACUUCUGAGAUGAUGAAUUUGAUUUGAUACAUGUUAUUCUGUUUCCUUUGUUAAGCAGCUCACAAAGAAACUAUCCAGAUAAUAUACCACUUUGUGGUUAAAGGAAUUCCUGCCUCAGUCUCCUCCAUUCCUCUGUCACCUGAUCCGUGACCACCUGUUCACCUUGUCACACUGUUGUCAGUCAUCCUACCUGUCCGGCUACACACACAAAUUCCAAGAUUCAAAUUCUAGAUCGUUACAGUUGCCCCUAAAUUAGCUGCCCCUGAAUUAUUUUCCAAUUUCUUCACAAUGCAAGAUUCAAACCUUAGAUUAAGGCCUCUAGAUUAAGUCUUCUAGAUUUAGUCUUCUAGAUUAAGGGCCACUAGAUUAAGGCCUCUAGCUUGUUCUGGUAUGUCUGGGAAGUAUGUAGGAUGGGGGUAAAAAGUGCUCAGAAUGAAGGACUGCCAAGUAUGGAAUGUCUCACAAUUACCACAACAGCAGAACUUCUGUGCAAUUCUGGAAAUUCAGCAUAUGUGUGUGUGUGUACAUGUUUUCCUACAUUAUCAGGACCAGAAUGUCCUGACAAGUCAACAGUAUGUCCUGAUAGGAAAACAAUAAAAAAAAUAAAAAAUUUUUUUUGAAAAGUCUGGACUUUUUCCAAGUCCUACAUUUGUUAAAAUGUUGUUUUAGGCUUAAGGGUUAGGAUUAGGAGUUAGGUGAAAUAGGAUUACUCCCCCAAAAGUCCUGUAAAUUCACGUUAAAAAAAAGGUGUGUGUGUGUCGGUUCUUCUUAGCAGCAUUUUGGAUGACAAGCUCCACCUCCUUUACCCGGCCCUGCAGCAGCAGCCAGCGAGGAGAUUCCCCUAGAGACGGACAGAACCCCCACACACACAUGCGCACACAUAAAAGUACUAUUAUAUAUAAUGAUGGUAAUAAUAGGAUGAUUUAGCAGAGUGUAAAGUAUUUUGUUCCAGCCCAACAGCAACACACUUGAUUUAUGUCUAUGAUCGCAGUAACCUAUUAUUUAGCGUUGUGUAGUGUUGAAUCCUGUGUCCGCCUCUUUGUGUUUAGCAAAGGAGCAGUGGUAAAGAGCAGAAGCAGGGGUUUCCUAGACCUCAGCCGCACCACUGACAUGACAAACAUCUCCAUCCUCAACAUCAUGCUCUGGGCAGUGACCUCCAUGAUUUUCUACAGUCUCUCCCUCAACACCAACAUGAACAGCGACUCCUACCUCAACUACUUUAACUCGGCACUAACAAGAUCCUGACCUACAUGAGUAUCUGGGUUUGGAAUGGCCGUUCCCGGCGACCCACUAUCCUCUUCUACUUGCUGCUUUUCUGUGGCAUUCAUGCUGCUGGUCAUCAAGUUUGUUCCUGAGGAUCUGAGUCUGUGUUGAAGCCCAGUGAUCUGUAACCAAAGCGAAAUAGUUUCCCCCCCUACCUAAUACCUCAAGGUCUUAUGUAGUACAUUAUCUAUUACACAUUAUAGACUGGAUGGUUCGAGCCCUGAAUGCUGUUUGGCUGACAGCCGUGGUAUAUCAGACCGUAUACCACAGCUCUGCUCCUGUGUCCCCUCAGAUCAGCACAUCCUGUCCCAGGUACUGACGUUGCUGGGCGUGUCGGGGGCGUACUGUUUCCUCUACCUCUUAUCCACUGAGCUCUUGCCCACUGUGGUCAGGAACAUGGGCCUGGGCAUGGCCUCCAUGGAAACACGCAUAGAAACCAUCCUCUCCCCCUACAUCAUCUACAUCAGUGUGGGGGGGGGGGGGGGGUUGUGGGGGGGGGUUGUGUGUGCCGGUUCGUGUGUGUUUGUGUCAGGUAUGGAUGAUUUCUUGCAUUAGCAAGCAUGAAUGUACACUGAACACAAAUAUAAACGCGUCAUGUAAAGUGUUGGUCCCAUGUUUCAUGAGCUGAAAUAAAAAAAAUCA